rnacentral:rRNA from 1 species
CGGAGAUGGGGAUCAAACAGGAUUAGAUACCCUGGUAGUCCACGCCGUAAACGAUGAGUGCUAAGUGUUAGGGGGUUUCCGCCCCUUAGUGCUGCAGCUAACGCAUUAAGCACUCCGCCUGGGGAGUACGACCGCAAGGUUGAAACUCAAAGGCGGUUGAGAGAUUUGAAUUGACGGGGACCCGCACAAGCGGUGGAGCAUGUGGUUUAAUUCGAAGCAACGCGAAGAACCUUACCAAAUCUUGACAUCCUUUGACAACUCUAGAGAUAGAGCCUUCCCCUUCGGGGGACAAAGUGACAGGUGGUGCAUGGUUGUCGUCAGCUCGUGUCGUGAGAUGUUGGGUUAAGUCCCGCAACGAGCGCAACCCUUAAGCUUAGUUGCCAUCAUUAAGUUGGGCACUCUAAGUUGACUGCCGGUGACAAACCGGAGGAAGGUGGGGAUGACGUCAAAUCAUCAUGCCCCUUAUGAUUUGGGCUACACACGUGCUACAAUGGACAAUACAAAGGGCAGCGAAACCGCGAGGUCAAGCAAGAUUAUCCCAUAAAGUUGUUCUCAGUUCGGAUUGUAGUCUGCAACUCGACUACAUGAAGCUGGAAUCGCUAGUAAUCGUAGAUCAGCAUGCUACGGUGAAUACGUUCCCGGGUCUUGAUUAAGGUA